AAAAAGAUAAGCUAAUAAAGCUAUUGGGUUCAUACCCCAAACAUAAAGGUUUUAAUCCUUUUCUUUUUA
rnacentral:tRNA from 1 species